GCGGUACAGGAUGAGCAUGCGUCUGAUUAGCUAGUUGGUGGUGUAACGGACCACCAAGGCGAUGAUCAGUAGGGGAACUGAGAGGUUGAUCCCCCACACUGGCACUGAGACACGGGCCAG
rnacentral:rRNA from 1 species